ensembl:lncRNA
UUAUCGAACCACAAUACUCACCUUCGACCACUGUGACUUUGUUUCCUUUUUGCAGGAAGCACACCCAGCAGCAAGUGCAGUGUGUUCAGUGUGUUACCAGCCGAGGGCAGGCUGGCCCCAGGAGAGAGCCGGGACGUUCAGGUCUGUUUCCAACCCAGAGAAGAGUACGAGUUCUACAGAGAGCGCCUCACUGUGGAGCUGUCCAACCAGAGUGCAGUGUGUGUGAUGGACCUGCGGGGGCGGCGUGCUCUCGCAGCAUGUAUGUGAGUGGAGGGGACUCCCUGCCCUCCGACUCCACCAAGGCUCCUGGGACUGACUGGGGAACAGAAGAGGAGCCCGUCCCAGUGGUGCUGACCCUGAAAGGCCACAGCAGCAGUGGGCAGUGGGCUCCUGUAGUCAGAGAGCUGCAGGUGGGCUGUGUCCGCUCCACACUGCCCAGUAAGAAGACGGCAGAGUUUUUCUGGGAGAACCUCAGCUCAGUGCAGCAGCAGCAGGGCUUUAGCUUGGAACCCAGCAGAGGAACAGUGGAGCCAGGCAGCACUCACACACUCAGCGUCACAUGGACUCCCCCGAGUGGAUACAAGCCUCUGGAGGUGCUGCAGAGCCGUGUGUCUCUGACGCUGAAGGCUGACACAGUCACAGUGUACAGUGUGACCCUCAUGGCCCUGAUGACCUCUGAGCCCUGGCCUGGGCCUCGAACCGGGCCUCAGCUCCUGGUGUCUCGGUUUGUCCCAGUAACAGACAGAGGAGUGUUCUAAAUCUACUCAAACGUAUCUUUGAUAUAACAUGUGAGCUGCAAUAAAGCACAGCACAGUUGUUCAUGAUUCAAAUGUCCACAGCUCCAUGUUGUGAUAUAAGAAAUCAAGUGGUCAAGACUCCAAAAUAUAACUGACACCAUACAGUUUAAUGUACAGUACUUUUGGCAAAUACUAGAGAGAUGUGUGAACUUCAGACCUCUAUAGAAAUGAUCAAAGCAUAUUUCAACCCGCUCCAACACAGAAGCUUUUGGGGGUGCCGGACAGUGACGUCAUCUCGUCUUGUUCCAAGGCAAAUGCAAGUUAAAAAUAGCUGACUAAAGGUUUUCUUUGUGUUUAUUCCAACGAACAUGAAAUCUAACAUGAUUAUUAUUUUCUGUUCAGCACCAGCAAAAUCUGUGUACGUUGCUUCAUCUUGUUUGUGACACUUAUCAUAUGACAUGUUUUUUGUACUUUGCUUGUGAUGCCCGUUCUGCAUAGUGCUUUAUGGUAUCUCUGUGUGUUUUAUCUACAGCUUGUGCUAUGGAGCAACUCUUGUGGGGGGAAAACAGAUGAUCUGCCUGUACUUAUUAUAACUGUAAAUACACACACUGAAACCCUUUAUUUUCUUUGUAUGGGAGGUCUACAUGUGUCUGUCAUUCACCUUUAAAUAAGAAAAGAAAAGGGUUUAUACAUGUUAACUCAAACUAAACAAUAUCCUACUCGUCAGGAGGGACACUGCACAAAUCUGGCCAUUAUGGAAGGAAAGAAAGAAAAAGAAAAAAGAAAAUCAUAAGUUCCGUUUGCUAGAAGCCACAUGGGGGAUACAGCAAACAUGAAAGAAGGUGCUUUGGUUAGAUGAGACCAAAAUGGAACUUUUUGGCCUAAAUGCAAAACGCUAUGUUUGGCGUAAAAGUAACACUGCACAUCACGAUGAAAACACCAUCCCCACUGUUAAACAUGGUGGUGGCAGCAUCAUGCUCUGGGGGUGCUUUUCUGCAGCAGAGACAGGGAAGAUGGUUCGAGUUGAUGGGAAGAUGGAUGGGGCCAAAUACAGAGCAAUCUUAGACAAAAACAUGUUGGAGUCUGCAAAAGACUUGAAACUGGGUCGGAGGUUCACCUUCCAGCAAGACAAUGACCCUAAACAUAAAGCCAGGACCACAGUGGAAUGGUUGAAAACAAAAAAUGUCCAUGUGUUAGAAAGGCCAAGUCAAAGUCCAGACCUAAAUCCAAUCGAGAAUCUGUGGAAAGAUCUGAAAACUGCGGUUCACACCGCUCUCCAUCUAUUCUGACUGAGCUUGAGCUGUUUUGCAAUGAAGAAUGUGCAAGAAAUCCAGCCUCAAGGUGUGCAGGACUGGUAGAGACUUGCAGCAAAAGGCAGUUCCACAAAGUAUUAACUCGGGGGGGUAUAGAUACUUUUGCACAGCCCAGUUUUCAGUUUUUUAUUUAUAAAAAAAGUUCAAAAUCAUGUAUACAUUUCAUUUCACUUUACAAUUGUGUGUCACUUAGUAUGUGUCUUUAACAUUUCAAUGAUAUACAUUUAUGUUUGUGGACCAUAAUGUGGCAAAAUUUGGGAAAAAACAUUGUUUCAUGUUUUAGUGCUGAUGUGCUCAGACGGACACAACAUGAAAUAAAUAGUUCUUUAACUUAUUGAUAAAAAAUACAAAUCUGACUUAAAUACUGUAUCAUUUUCACAGAUUGGAAAAUAAGAUUUAUUUAGGGAAUCACUUACUUGUCACUUGUAAAUUCAUGUUGGUUUGAUCUUAUAAUAUUUAAUGAUUGUUUUGGCAGAUUCUCUCUUUCUGUUUUCUGGGAACAGGAUCAUAAAGAGCUACAGCAGUGAAUCGGUUCUCCCACAGGUUUGGUGUGACCUGUGCAGUAAGUGCAGUGUGUUGAGUGUGGUGCCAGCAGAGGGCAGGCUGGCCCCAGGACAGAGCCGGGACAGCAGAGAAGAGAGAGCGCCUCACUGUGGAGCCGUCCAGUCAGGUCAGGUAGCUUUUCAUUUGUGCUCUGACGCUGAAGAGGAAAAUACAGGGGUUAAAGUGGGCAGGAACGCUCGGGAAUGGCGUUCCCGCACCUUUGCGUGGCAAAAAAACACAUUGAUUAAAUGGUGACAUUUUUAGAACUACAUUACAUUCUUACAUUGAUGCAUUUGUUGCAUUUGAAAUAUUGAAUCUGGAAUAAAUGACAUUAAAAGAC